rnacentral:tRNA from 1 species
GCGGGUAUAGUUUAGUGGUAGAACUAUAGCCUUCCAAGCUACUAGUGCGGGUUCGAUUCCCGCUACCCGCU